CCUAGAUAAAAGUGAAUAUCAUAAGUAAUUUAUGAUUGGGACGUAUAGCGAAACGAAAAGCUGUUCUUAUUGUCGUAAUACAAGUGAGAACAGAUCUCCUUAGAGGAAACUCUGUAUAUUUAAUAAAACCUAGUGAAUUGAAACAUCUCAGUAACUAGAGGAAUAGAAAUCAACCGAGACUCCGUUAGUAGUGGUGAACGAACGCGGAUUAGGCCAAUUAAUAGAAUAAAAAAUUAGAAAAUAAAUAAGUAAGUUGAAAUACCACGCCAAAGAAGGUUAUAGCCCUGUAUUAUUAUUCAUAAUUUUUCUACAUUAGUUUGUAGAACUAUUAAUUUAAUGAGUAGAACGAGACUUAACUUGUUUGAAGAUAGGGGGGACCACCCUCUAAGCCUAAGUACGCACUUUUGAUCGAUAGUGAACUAGUACCGUGAGG
rnacentral:rRNA from 1 species